rnacentral:rRNA from 1 species
GCUUUCCCUCCAGAGUGGAUCCUGAGUACGGCGGAACACGUGAAAUUCCGUCGGAAUCCGGGAGGACCAUCUCCCAAGGCUAAAUACUCCCUAGUGACCGAUAGUGAACCAGUACCGUGAGGGAAAGGUGAAAAGCACCCCGGAAGGGGAGUGAAACAGUUCCUGAAACCGUGUGCCUACAAGUAGUUAGAGCCCGUUAAUGGGUGAUAGCGUGCCUUUUGUAGAAUGAACCGGCGAGUUACGAUUUGUUGCAAGGUUAAGCGGAAAAAGCGGAGCCGUAGCGAAAGCGAGUCUGAAUAGGGCGCAUAAGUAACAGGUCGUAGACCCGAAACCAGGUGAUCUACCCAUGUCCAGGAUGAAGGUAAGGUAAUACUUACUGGAGGUCCGAACCCACGCACGUUGAAAAGUGCGGGGAUGAGGUGUGGGUAGCGGAGAAAUUCCAAUCGAACUUGGAGAUAGCUGGUUCUCUCCGAAAUAGCUUUAGGGCUAGCCUCGAGGUAAAGAGUCAUGGAGGUAGAGCACUGUUUGGACUAGGGGCCCUUCUCGGGUUACCGAAUUCAGAUAAACUCCGAAUGCCAUGUACUUAUACUCGGGAGUCAGACUGCGAGUGAUAAGAUCCGUAGUCGAAAGGGAAACAGCCCAGACCACCAGUUAAGGUCCCCAAAUAUAUGUUAAGUGGAAAAGGAUGUGGGGUUGCUUAGACAACCAGGAUGUUGGCUUAGAAGCAGCCACCAUUGAAAGAGUGCGUAAUAGCUCACUGGUCGAGUGACCCCGCGCCGAAAAUGUACCGGGGCUAAACAUAUUACCGAAACUGUGGAUGAACCUCUUUAGAGGUUCGUGGUAGGAGAGCGUUCUAAGGGCGGUGAAGUCAGACCGGAAGGACUGGUGGAGCGCUUAGAAGUGAGAAUGCCGGUAUGAGUAGCGAAAGAAGGGUGAGAAUCCCUUCCACCGAAUAUCUAAGGUUUCCUGAGGAAGGCUCGUCCGCUCAGGGUUAGUCGGGACCUAAGCCGAGGCCGAUAGGCGUAGGCGAUGGACAACAGGUAGAGAUUCCUGUACCAGUGCUAAUUGUUUAACCGAUGGGGUGACACAGAAGGAUAGGGAAUCGCACGAAUGGAAAUGUGCGUCCAAGCAGUGAGUGUGAGAAGUAGGCAAAUCCGCUUCUCGCGAAGCAUGAGCUGUGAUGGGGAAGGAAAUUAAGUACGGAAGUUCCUGAUUUCACGCUGUCAAGAAAAGCCUCUAGGAAGAGUAGUACUGCCCGUACCGCAAACCGACACAGGUAGAUGAGGAGAGAAUCCUAAGGUGAGCGAGAGAACUCUCGUUAAGGAACUCGGCAAAAUGACCCCGUAACUUCGGGAGAAGGGGUGCUCUAUUAGGGUGCAAGCCCGAGAGAGCCGCAGUGAAUAGGCCCAGGCGACUGUUUAGCAAAAACACAGGUCUCUGCAAAACCGUAAGGUGACGUAUAGGGGCUGACGCCUGCCCGGUGCUGGAAGGUUAAGAGGAGUGCUUAGCUUCGGCGAAGGUACGAAUUGAAGCCCCAGUAAACGGCGGCCGUAACUAUAACGGUCCUAAGGUAGCGAAAUUCCUUGUCGGGUAAGUUCCGACCCGCACGAAAGGCGCAACGAUCUGGGCACUGUCUCAACGAGAGACUCGGUGAAAUUAUAGUACCUGUGAAGAUGCAGGUUACCCGCGACAGGACGGAAAGACCCCGUGGAGCUUUACUGCAACCUGAUAUGGAAUGUUUGUACCGCUUGUACAGGAUAGGUAGGAGCCGAAGAGACGUGUGCGCUAGCAUACGAGGAGGCAAUGGUGGGAUACUACCCUGGCUGUAUGACCAUUCUAACCCGCCACGCUUAGCGCGUGGGGAGACAGUGUCAGGUGGGCAGUUUGACUGGGGCGGUCGCCUCCUAAAGAGUAACGGAGGCGCCCAAAGGUUCCCUCAGAAUGGAUGGAAAUCAUUCGCAGAGUGUAAAGGCACAAGGGAGCUUGACUGCGAGACUGACAAGUCGAGCAGGGACGAAAGUCGGGCUUAGUGAUCCGGUGGUUCCGCAUGGAAGGGCCAUCGCUCAACGGAUAAAAGCUACCCCGGGGAUAACAGGCUUAUCUCCCCCAAGAGUCCACAUCGACGGGGAGGUUUGGCACCUCGAUGUCGGCUCGUCGCAUCCUGGGGCUGUAGUCGGUCCCAAGGGUUGGGCUGUUCGCCCAUUAAAGCGGCACGCGAGCUGGGUUCAGAACGUCGUGAGACAGUUCGGUCCCUAUCCGUCGCGGGCGCAGGAAAUUUGAGAGGAGCUGUCCUUAGUACGAGAGGACCGGGAUGGACACACCGCUGGUGUACCAGUUGUUCCGCCAGGAGCAUCGCUGGGUAGCUAUGUGUGGCAGGGAUAAACGCUGAAAGCAUCUAAGCGUGAAGCCCCCCUCAAGAUGAGAUUUCCCAUUUCUUCGGAAAGUAAGAUCCCUGAAAGAUGAUCAGGUAGAUAGGUUUGGAGUGGAAGUGUAGCGAUACAUGGAGCGGACAAAUACUAAUCGAUCGAGGACUUAACCAAAA